rnacentral:rRNA from 1 species
UACGUAGGGGGCAAGGCGUUGUCCGGAUUUAUUGGGCGUAAAGAGCUCGUAGGCGGUGUGUCACGUCGGCCGUGAAAACCUGCAGCUUAACUGUGGGCGUGCGGUCGAUACGGGCAUCACUGGAGUUCGGCAGGGGAGACUGGAAUUCCUGGUGUAGCGGUGAAAUGCGCAGAUAUCAGGAGGAACACCGGUGGCGAAGGCGGGUCUCUGGGCCGAUACUGACGCUGAGGAGCGAAAGCGGUGGGGAGCAAACAGG